rnacentral:rRNA from 1 species
ACACUCCUACGGGAGGCAGCAGUGGGGAAUAUUGGACAAUGGGCGCAAGCCUGAUCCAGCCAUGCCGCGUGAGUGAUGAAGGCCCUAGGGUUGUAAAGCUCUUUUGUGCGGGAAGAUAAUGACGGUACCGCAAGAAUAAGCCCCGGCUAACUUCGUGCCAGCAGCCGCGGUAAUACGAAGGGGGCUAGCGUUGCUCGGAAUCACUGGGCGUAAAGGGUGCGUAGGCGGGUCUUUAAGUCAGGGGUGAAAUCCUGGAGCUCAACUCCAGAACUGCCUUUGAUACUGAAGAUCUUGAGUUCGGGAGAGGUGAGUGGAACUGCGAGUGUAGAGGUGAAAUUCGUAGAUAUUCGCAAGAACACCAGUGGCGAAGGCGGCUCACUGGCCCGAUACUGACGCUGAGGCACGAAAGCGUGGGGAGCAAACAGGAUUAGAAACCCUUGUAGUCCC